rnacentral:rRNA from 1 species
UUGAACGCUGGCGGCAUGCUUUACACAUGCAAGUCGAACGGUAACAGGCCUUCGGGUGCUGACGAGUGGCGAACGGGUGAGUAAUGCAUCGGAACGUACCCAGAGGUGGGGGAUAACGCAGCGAAAGCUGUGCUAAUACCGCAUGUGAUCUGAGGAUGAAAGCGGGGGACCGAGCAGCAAUGUUUGGCCUCGCGCCUUUGGAGCGGCCGAUGUCGGAUUAGCUAGUUGGUGGGGUAAAGGCCUACCAAGGCGACGAUCCGUAGCUGGUCUGAGAGGACGACCAGCCACACUGGGACUGAGACACGGCCCAGACUCCUACGGGAGGCAGCAGUGGGGAAUUUUGGACAAUGGGCGCAAGCCUGCUCCAGCAAUGCCGCGUGCGGGAAGAAGGCCUUCGGGUUGUAAACCGCUUUUGGCAGGAACGAAACGGUGUCCGCUAAUACCGGGCGCUAAUGACGGUACCUGCAGAAUAAGCACCGGCUAACUACGUG